rnacentral:misc_RNA from 1 species
GAUGAAGAACGCAGCGAAAUGCGAUAAGUAGUGUGAAUUGCAGAAUUCAGUGAAUCAUCGAAUCUUUGAACGCACAUUGCGCCCCUUGGUAUCCCGAGGGGCAUGCCUGUUCGAGCGUCAUUUCACCACUCAAGCCUGGCUUGGUGUUGGGCGACGUCCUCUUUGGGGACGCGCCUCGAAACGCUCGGCGGCGUGGCACCGGCUUUAAGCGUAGCAGAAUCUUUCGCUUUGGAAGUCGGGGCCCCGUCUGCCGGAAGACCUACUCGCAAGGUUGACCUCGGAUCAGGCAGGGAUACCCGCUGAACUUAAGCAUAUCAAUAAGCGGAGA